rnacentral:rRNA from 1 species
GCAGCAGUAGGGAAUCUUAGACAAUGGGGGCAACCCUGAUCUAGCCAUGCCGCGUGUGUGAUGAAGGCCCUAGGGUCGUAAAGCACUUUCGCCAGAGAUGAUAAUGAGCAGUAUCUGGUAAAGAAACCCCGGCUAACUCCGUGCCAGCAGCCGCGGUAAUACGGAGGGGGUUAGCGUUGUUCGGAAUUACUGGGCGUAAAGCGCACGUAGGCGGAUUAGUAAGUUAGAGGUGAAAUCCCAGGGCUCAACCCUGGAACUGCCUUUAAUACUGCUAGUCUUGAGUUCGAGAGAGGUAAGUGGAA